UCUAAGGUGAGGAUCUAAUGACUGCCAAU
rnacentral:piRNA from 1 species